rnacentral:rRNA from 1 species
GAUGAACGCUGGCGGCGUGCUUAACACAUGCAAGUCGAACGGAAGGGCGCUGCUUUUGUGGGGUGCUAGAGUGGCGAGGGGGUGAGUAACACGUGAGUAUCCUGCCCUUGACUUUGGGAUAAAUUCAGGGAACUGGGGAUAAUACAGGAUAGGAGAUGCUGCAGCAGGGUGGUGGUUGGAAAGUUUCGGGGGUGGGGGAUGGACUCGAGGCUUAUCGGCUUGUUGGUGGGGUAGUGGCUUACCAAGGCUUUGACGGGUAGCCCGCCUGAGCGGGUGACCGGCGACCUUGGGACUGAGAGACGGCCCAGACGGCUACUGGAGGCAGCAGGGGGGAAUAUUGCCCAAUGGGCGGAAGCCUGAUGCAGCAGCGCCGCGUUCGGGAAGACUGCCUUCGGGUUGUAAAACGCUUUCGCCUGUGACGAAGCGUGAAUGACGGUAAUCGGUAAAGAAGCACCGGCUAACUACGUG